rnacentral:piRNA from 1 species
UGUUCUUUUUGGUCAUGAUAGUCAGGUAUC